GUAGGGAAUUUUGGGCAAUGGGCGAAAGCCUGACCCAGCAACGCCGCGUGUGGGAUGAAGGCCCUCGGGUCGUAAACCACUGUCAGGAGGAAAGAAAAGCUGGCCGGCUAACAUCCGGUCGGCCUGACGGUACCUCCAAAGGAAGCACCGGCUAACUCCGUGCCAGCAGCCGCGGUAAUACGGAGGGUGCAAGCGUUGUUCGGAAUUACUGGGCGUAAAGCGCGUGUAGGUGGUCGAGUAAGUCGAAUGUGAAAGCCCCGGGCUCAACCCGGGAAGUGCAUCCGAAACUGCUCGACUAGAGUCCCGGAGAGGAAGGCAGAAUUCCCAAUGUAGGGGUGAAAUCCGUAGAUAUUGGGAGGAAUACCGGUGGCGAAGGCGGCCUUCUGGACGGUGACUGACACUCAGACGCGAAAGCGUGGGGAGCAAACAGGAUUAGAAACCCCAGUAGUCC
rnacentral:rRNA from 1 species